AUCCUUUUGUAGUUAAGAAGCGUGACGAUUGGGUUUUCGUGCUCAUGUGUGAGAAGUGCCUCCCUCAAACCUUGUUAUGAAGUCAGCAUAUUACUGGUCUUUUU
ensembl:snoRNA